GAGGGUGUAGUUCAGUGGCAGAGUACGUGCUUAGCAUGCACAGGGUCCUGGGUUCAGUCCCCAGUACCUCCA
rnacentral:tRNA from 1 species